CGGACGGGUGAGUAAUGUCUGGGAAACUGCCUGAUGGAGGGGGACAACUACUGGAAACGGUAGCUAAUACCGCAUAACGUCGCAAGACCAAAGAGGGGGACCUUAGGGCCUCUUGCCAUCGGAUGUGCCCAGAUGGGAUUAGCUAGUAGGUGGGGUAACGGCUCACCUAGGCGACGAUCCCUAGCUGGUCUGAGAGGAUGACCAGCCACACUGGAACUGAGACACGGUCCAG
rnacentral:rRNA from 1 species